ACUUUAAAGGAUAGAAG
rnacentral:tRNA from 1 species